rnacentral:pre_miRNA from 1 species
UUUAAGUGCAACUAUGAGUUUUCGUGUCCAAAUUUGAUCGUCUGUCUUAUUUGAAAUUUUUUUAUAAUUAGUAUUUUUGUUGUUACGAGAUGAUAAAAUAUGAAUAGCACUUUGCUCAUGACUUAUGUUUUAAAAUUUUUUUAAAAAAAUUUAAAUAAAAUUAUGGCAGCACUUAAA